ensembl:misc_RNA
CAGCCGCAACCCCAGGGACCAGUGCGCACGCCUGGGCCGCCCUCCGGGAAUCACCCAGCGGGCGCGGACAACUGAAUACACACCCCAAAGCGCUGCGGUCGGUCAAGGGCGGGGACAGCCA